UGGGAGGUCUGUCCUCACAAAAAGACACAGUUGUUCUUCUGCCCUGAAUAUAUAAAGGUGACCAAGAAGUGCUCUGUUCAAGCUAUGAAUGAGGUUCCAGUGGCCAAUGCCAGAAUUCAAAUUUUUGGAACACCAGUUUAGGACUCCUAAUGCUUCAAAAAAAUUAAGCGGCAAGCUCCAUCAGUGAUUA